rnacentral:pre_miRNA from 1 species
UUUCAGUUUUCUGAUAUAAUGUUUUGAUUCUAUGUUUUAUUUAAAAUUUUUUUACGAUUAAUAUUUUUUCUUACGAGAUGAUAAACAUAAAUAGUACUUUAUGCGUGAUUUUUUUUAAAAAAAAUUUUAUAUAAAAUUUUUAAAUAAGACGAAUAGUCAAAUGUUGGACACGGAAAAACA